AAGAAAGAAGUCGGGCUGUCAAAAUGCAGGACGACGAAAAACUCUAACUGUCACCUGAAAAAUAAAAUUGAGACUGUCGGUCUCGAGAGUGAGUUAAAAUCACAUAACUCUGUAACUAUUGCAGUCUCCUCAAUAAAAUAAUAUUCAUUAAUUCAGUAUAUCAUGCCAUUGUGUACCAGAACAUGAGUCAUACUAUAAUUUAGAAAGAAAAAUAUAUUUAAGACUUAUGGGACGAGUGGCUUAGCAGAACCCUAACCCACAACGCUAGUAGCCUUUCGGCUCUCUUAUUCCAAUAGGUCUAGCGCCCAGAGAGCGAAGCUCAACCAGGGUCCUUACAUCCAGCCUGGACUCUUGUUCUUCAAUUAAGCCGGCGCCCAGAAAAUAUUGUUCGACUAGGGACCUUUCUCCGGCAGUUAAGCUUUCACAACCUAGAGAGUUAUACUCGACCAGGGCAAAAUCCAAAAAUAACUUUUGUUACCUAUCUCUGAUUACUACCGGUCCGCACGCAGUCUUUAUGCAAUCCAUCAGGUGGCAUGUUCUACUGUCGACUCAUCCCAAUAUCACAAUCGUAAUAUAUAUAAUAAUUAUAAACAAUAUAAAUAUAGACAAAUACAAUUUAUUUAAAUACAUAUUGAAAAUUAAAAUUUAGUAGUAUCGAAUAAAGUAAACAUAAAAAUUAUAUGCAAUAAUAAUAAUAAUAUUAUUAUAAUAGCAUUAAGUAUGAUAUUAAUAAUGAUAAAAAUAAAUUUACUAAUGAUAAUACUAAUAAUAUUCGUGAUAAUUAUAAAUCAAUAAAAUUACUCAUAAUAACGAUGAAACUAUGCGAAGCUCGAGUUGCGGGGGUCUGAAAACACAAUAGUUUCGACCCAAAACUCACCAGAAGGCACCGGAUCGGGGCUGGAAAGGGGCUGCUUCGGUGAACCUUGACCGAGGCUGCCGGUGAGGAUUUCAUGGCGGGGGAGCUCGGCCUAGGGGUUUCCGGUGGUGGGGAGCUCGAUUCCGGCGUCGGAUGGCCAAAUGGACGUCGGCAGGAGGCCAAAAGGCGAUGGCAGCUCCCUUUCCUUCGGCGACGCCGCUGCGGAAGGGAAGGACGUCGUCGCGGCAGUGGGAGGAAAAGAGAGGCGCUGCUGGCGGCAACAGCGGCUCGGCACAGGCCAGGAAGGAAAGCAGCAGUCGGCGGGGAGAGAAGGGGAGGGAGAGAGAGGAAAAGGAAGGAAGGAAAAAAAAGGAGAGGGGGGAGAGGGAAGGAAGGAAAGAAAAAGAAAAGAAAAAAAUAUAUUUUUUAUAUAUUAUUAUUAUUAUUAUUAUUAUUAUUAUUAUAUAUUUUAUUUUAUUUUAUUUUUUAUUAUUAUAUUUUUUUGUUAACACCGAAUAUGAGAUUAUUUAUUUCAUAAUAAUUAGGUAAGUUUUUUUAAAAAAAAAGAAUAAUUAGGUAAGUUGAACAAAUAUAAAAAUUUUAAUUUGAAUUACUUGGGAUCCACUAAAUAAACUUUCUUUUUUAACUCCAAAAGAUUUGAGAUCUAUGUUCUCACAAAAA
rnacentral:lncRNA from 1 species